GUGUUCACUGUGGUAGCCCACACACCUGAACUGGAAUGAUCCAGAGAAGAUGAGCAUGCACCUGGUGGAAGGAUGACAUACAAACCUGUAAGACAUUCCAUUAAAAC
rnacentral:snRNA from 1 species